rnacentral:rRNA from 1 species
GAUGAACGCUGGCGGCGUGCCUAAUACAUGCAAGUCGAGCGAACGGACGAGAAGCUUGCUUUUCUGAUGUUAGCGGCGGACGGGUGAGUAACACGUGGAUAACCUACCUAUAAGACUGGGAUAACUUCGGGAAACCGGAGCUAAUACCGGAUAAUAUUUUGAACCGCAUGGUUCAAAAGUGAAAGACGGUCUUGCUGUCACUUAUAGAUGGAUCCGCGCUGCAUUAGCUAGUUGGUAAGGUAACGGCUUACCAAGGCAACGAUGCAUAGCCGACCUGAGAGGGUGGGAGCCCCCCCGGGAAGGUGACCCGGCCCAGCACGCGUGCGGGAGGCAGCAGAGGGGACUCGUCGGAAGUGGGCGAAAACAUGACGGAACAGCACGGGGGGAGUUGUAGAGUUCUUGGGUUCGUAAAAUUCUUUUAUUGGGGAAAAACAGAGGUAUAAUUAACUGUACAUAUCGUGACGGUACCUAACAAAAAAGCCCCGGCUAACUACGUG